rnacentral:rRNA from 1 species
CGUAUGUCGCAAGCGUUAUCCGGAUUAUUGGGCGUAAAGCGCGUCUAGGUGGUUGGUAAGUCUGAUGUGAAAUGCGGGCUCAACUCCGUAUUGCGUUGGAAACUGCCUAACUAGAGUAUCGGAGAGGUGGGCGGAACUACAAGUGUAGAGGUGAAAUUCGUAGAUAUUUGUAGGAAUGCCGAUAGAGAAGUCAGCUCACUGGACGAAUACUGACACUGAAGCGCGAAAGCAUGGGGAGCAAACAGGAUU